rnacentral:antisense_RNA from 1 species
AUAAGAGCUAGGACAGGAGGAGCCGCAGAGCUCGUAAUUGCUGUGGGGAGGACAGGCCAGCUCUGGAAGAAAACAGACAGGGCCUUGCUCUGUUGCCCAGGCCAAGUGCAAUGGCAUGAUCUCAGCUCACUGCAGCCUCCCGAUUGUUCUCGAUGAAACUUUUAACCACGUGGUUUGUUAUGCAUGUCACACCCACAGGCCACUUCAAACUUGCAGCACACAGUGAGCAACUCGGACGAUUUAGGGUCCAGUGCUGGGAGGUGGACCUGGGUCCCGUUAACCUGGACAGACACCUCCAAGAUGAGCGUGAGGGGGCUGCUGGAUCUGUUCUCCUUUCACGGCUGUAUCCUGAAGAAUGGCAGUGAGCUGGAAGAGCCACAGGAUUCGGCAAAGACGGACACACAGCUGAGUCCGGCUACCCUGGCGUUGGAGCGCGAGGAGCACAGCAGCCGCCACGUCCCUUCCGUCUUGUCAAAGACCAUGAGCCGAGCGUCCGCAGAGCUGACCUGCACUGCAGGGCGACAGGGCCCGGGGCCGCCUGGGUCCCACAGCCAGGUUCCCCACAUGCUUCCCCAGCCGGAGCCCCUCCUGGCCUGUGCUCCAGCCAUGUGGUGUAGACGUGAACCCCAGCCCAUCGGAGGGUUGCAGCCCCCACAUCUGCGAUUGCAUCUGGAAUCAUGACUCGAGGACUUUUUUUUUUUUAAGACAGGGUCUCGCUCUGUUGCCCAGGCUGGAGUGUAGUGGUGUGAUCUUGGCUCACUGUAGCCUUGACCUCCCAGACUCAAGAAAUCCUCCUACCUCAACCUCCUGAGUAGCUGGGACCACAGGCGUGCACCACCACACCUGGCUAAUUUUUUUGUUUGUUUGUUUGUUUUUUUGUAGAGACGGGUCUUGCCAUGUUGCCCAGGCGGGUCUUGAACUCCUGGGCUCAAGCAAUCUUCCUGCCUCUGCCUCCUAAAAUGCUGGGAUUACAGGUGGGAUUACAGAGCACCAUGGCACUCUGCCAGACUCAAGGACUCAGGUCGGACCAAUCAACAGCAGCCUUGAGGCUGUGGCCAGCCCCUCCGCGAACCAGGGGAACUUCACUCUCCAUUAGAAGUCCUAAGUUGGCUGCUUA